AUAUAUAUAUGGUUUACAGAGGGGCUACAAAUCAGGAACAUUUAUGAUCAGGCGAUUUAAGAUGGGGAGAUGAAGAGUUCACCGGUGAAAAAUAGAUUACGAACAGACACACAGCGCAACUCUGUAACUCAGACUUGUUUGAGACAAUGAUGGAAAAAACUCAAAUUCAUGUUAAACGAAAACAGUUUACAAUAUGAGAAAACUAUAAUUGUUGCAAGCUUGAGUUUUUUUUCAUAUAACGUGAUGAAUCCCAUUUAAAAAUGAAACCCAUAAUACACUUGUAGGCCCGACCUUCAUAGAAAGCCGAAAAAGCAAGGGCUUCCGACCUUCAUAAAUAUAUAUUAGGUUCGGUCAUCAAUUUGCAAAGUAUCAUUUAGCUUAGUGGUAUAAAUGUUAGUGUUUAAAUCCCAAUAACCUGGGUUCGAGCCAUGGACUUGACACUUUUUAAAAGUGGGACCCACAAAAUGCUGACGUGACGCGCUGAGGAGUGAGCAAAAAAUCAUCUAUUAUAAUAUAGAUUUAUAAAAAAAUUCUUUUUUAUAAUUUUAUUUUUAAUAAAUAUUUUUUUUUAAUUAGAAUUUUUUAAUAGAGCGAGUAUAAAAUAUGUUUCAUAGAUGUUAAAUGUGACUUUAGAUGUAAUUUUACUAAAUCUCAUCAAAAUAUAUUAAACUAGGAUCGCCUGCCCUACGGGCGGGGUUUACUUUACUUGUAAACUCGAAUUUUAUUUUUUUUGUAUGAUUUGGUGGGUUGUGUUUUAGGUUUAUAUUUACAAGAAAUGUGUAUAAUAGUGUUUAUUGUCUAGUAGGAAAUUUUAAGUGAUGAAUGACAUUAUAUCUAUUUACGUAACGUUUGAUGUUUGCUUAUUUUUGUCACUUGUUUUUGUUUUUUGUACUAUUUGUUGUCAAAUAUGUUUUUUGACAUUAUAUUAUUGUUAGUUAUAUUUUUUUUGUUAUGUUAUAUAAUGAGAACACAUUUUAUAUCAUCUUUGCAUAUGUCUAACUAAAAUUAUUUAUUUUUAUUAUUAUUAUUAGAGAUUAUAAGGUUUUAUUAGCAUGAUAUCAUUUUCAUGAUUGAAAUGAUAUACUAAAAUUAUUUAUGUCCGACGUGGCGCAAGCAGGAAAUAAUUAUUAUUUUAUUUUAUUUUUUGUUAUGUCUUAUAAUGAGAAAACAUUUUAUAUCAUCUUUGCAUAUGUCUAACUAAAAUUAUUUAUUAUUUAGUAUUAUUGUUAGAGGUUAUAAGGUUGUAUAAAUGAUAUGAUUUUCAUGUUUGAAAUGGUAUACAUUUGUUAAAUGUUUGCUCAAAUUUUCUAUAUAGAGUAAGUAUAUUCGAGUUUUUAUUGUUGUGGUUGGGUUUAGUACUCAAGACAUCGAUUAUUUAACAUUUUGUAUAUAUUGAAUGUACUUGUAUUUUUAAUAAAAUUUUAUUAUUCAGUUUUAGUGUAUAAUUAGUUGCUGUUUUACUUAUUCUAUUACCUCUUAUAUUGUUUUCAUUUGCUAUACCGAGUAAUACAUUAUUUUAAUUUUAAAUUUACUAUAAAUUUAUUAUGGGACAGAAAAAACAUAAUAUAAUAUAUGCAUUAGUUAAAAAAUUACUUGAAAUUCUUCGCUUGUUAAUGUGUUUUGAUGCUGAAAGAGAGCGAGAAUGAUUUCUUUCUUGAAGGGUAAGGCUAAUGAAAAAUAAAAUUUCCUUCUAUCUACUUCAUGCGUCUUUUAAUAUGUCAGCCUCCCCGCCCAUUUAAGUCGGAUGGACUCGACCCGGAUGAUUCAAGUCGGGUGUUUUUCACCGCUCGCUACAGAAACCUAAACGCAACAUUUCAAUAGCACUAUUGAUUUUUUUUUAGGGAAGAAUGGAAGAGAAGAGAAGAACAGAAGCAGCACCCUUGGGUCCCUCUCUCUCUAAUCAUCGUCUCUAUUUUCUCUUCGCUCGUGCAUCUCAAUCAGUUGGUAUACUUGGUUCCGUGUAGAAAAGUGUUUGUGAUAGAUAACAUCGAAGAAAAAAAGGUUUUCGGAGUUCAAGCGUAAGAUUUGAUUGAAUGGUUAUGCUCACUGAAAUCGCCACCCUUGAGGAGAAGUAUGUUUUGAUUUUUUUUUCUCACCUUUUUAUGCUUGUGUCUAAUCUUUUGAAUUAAGACAGAAAAAAGUUGAGAUGUGAUAUUGUCUGAAACCUGACAUGGAAGUCGAUGAGCUCUUCCUUUUUCUCUUAUUUUGAUUUGGAUGAACGAAAUUAUAUACUCUUUUUGCAAUGAAUUUAGACUGCGCUUUGAUUCAGUGUUUUAAUUUGGUGUUCUUUGUCUGAAUAUCUGUCUUGUUCGCUGAUUAAGGAUCAGUUUUGAUUCUGUUAUAUAUUUUUUUGCUCUAAGGAAUUAAAAAAGUAACGUUUUUUUCAAGUCUUCUUCUUUUACUUGGGGGUGAACAUAUCUGCUUCAGGGUGCUUUCUGGAUCAGAUUAAUUUUUUGAAUUCUGGUAAUUUGGUUUAGUCUUGGAUCAUAGAUCUCUUGAUUGAAGUUAAGUAGGAUUCUUAAUAAGCUACAAUGUGUUUAUCUUUGGUUUUAGGUAUAUCGAAUUGUGUAAGAAGCAUGGAACCGUACCCAACACUUCCAUUUUAUCUGCCUUCUUUGAGGCGGAGGAUAAAAAGUCAAGGAAUUAAAGAUGCACCAUGAACCUUUUAGUUGACAGAGUGAUGUACGAUGACUUUCACCCGCUACUUGAGUUAUGCAAUGAGAUCAACGCAUCUGAGGUAGAAGGAAUAGAUCUCUCUGUGAGAUCCUCUUGUUCUCUGGAAGAUCAGUACGUAUUGUCCUUGAUACGUUCUGUCAAUCAAAAACUUCAUCUUGUUGAUGUACACGAUUGUUUUGGGAAAACCUUAUGGCGGGAUGUCUUCUCUCAAGGCUUGAGCUGCGAAGUUUUGAAUGUGAGGUCUUUGCAUUUCCGUAAGCUUAACAUCGUUGGAGAGUUCGCAUAGCUGCACACCCUUAUACUCGAUUCCAACCGUGUGACUGGUUUUGGUGAACGCUUUUUUUCUUGCAUGCCGAACUUGACUUGUCUUUCGAUGUGCAACACUGUUGUCUCUGAUCUUUGGACAGCAAGCGCUGCUCUCUUGAAA